rnacentral:rRNA from 1 species
GAGUUUGAUCAUGGCUCAGGAUGAACGCUAGCGGCAGGCUUAACACAUGCAAGUCGAGGGGUAUAGGUUUUCGGACCUAGAGACCGGCGCACGGGUGCGUAACGCGUAUGCAAUCUGCCUUUUACUGAGGGAUAGCCCAGAGAAAUUUGGAUUAAUACCUCAUAGUAUUAUUGAAUGGCAUCAUUUAAUAAUUAAAGUUCCAACGGUAAAAGAUGAGCAUGCGUCCCAUUAGCUAGAUGGUAAGGUAACGGCUUACCAUGGCGACGAUGGGUAGGGGUCCUGAGAGGGAGAUCCCCCACACUGGUACUGAGACACGGACCAGACUCC